GACAGAGGGGGCAAACGUUGUUCGGAUUUACUGGGCGUAAAGCGCGUGUAGGCGGCUUUGCAAGUCGGAUGUGAAAGCCCACGGCUCAACCGUGGAAGUGCAUCCGAAACUGCAUGGCUCGAGUCUCGGAGAGGAAGGUGGAAUGCUUGGUGUAGAGGUGAAAUUCGUAGAUAUCAAGCAGAACACCUGCGGCGAAGGCGGCCUUCUGGACGAUGACUGACGCUGAGACGCGAAAGCGUGGGGAGCAAACAGG
rnacentral:rRNA from 1 species